rnacentral:rRNA from 1 species
GUGCCAGCAGCCGCGGUAAUACGUAGGUGGCGAGCGUUAUCCGGAAUUACUGGGCGUAAAGCGCACGCAGGUGGUUUCUUAAGUUUGACGUGAAAGCUCCUGGCUUAACUGGGAGAGGUCGUUGAAUACUGGGGAACUUGAGGCAAUGAGAGGGAUGUAGAAUUCACGGUGUAGUGGUGGAAUGCGUAGAUAUCGUGAGGAAUACCAGUGGCGAAAGCGGCAUCCUGGCAUUAGCCUGACACUCAUGUGCGAAAGCGCGGGGAGCGAACGGGAUUAGAAACCCGAGUAGUCC